rnacentral:rRNA from 1 species
GAUUAACGCUGGCGGCAUGCCUAAUACAUGCAAGUCGAACGGAAGCAGCAAUGCUUUAGUGGCGAACGGGUGAGUAACACGUAGGGAACCUACCUAUACGACGAGGAUAACUACUGGAAACGGUAGCUAAAACUGGAUAGGAUCAAUUGAGGCAUCUUGAUUGAUUUAAAGAUCCUUCGGGAUUACGUAGAGAUGGCCCUGCGGCGCAUUAGCUAGUUGGUGAGGUAAUGGCUCACCAAGGCAACGAUCAGUAGCCGACCUGAGAGGGUGAUCGGCCACACUGGAACUGAGACACGGUCCAGACUCCUACGGGAGGCAGCAGUGGGGAAUAUUGCACAAUGGGCGAAAGCCUGAUGCAGCAACGCCGCGUGAGCGAUGAAGGCCU